rnacentral:rRNA from 1 species
AUUGAACGCUGGCGGUAUGCAUAACACAUGCAAGUCGAACGGUAGCAGGUCUAGCUUGCUAGAUGCUGACGAGUGGCGGACGGGUGAGUAACGCGUAGGAAUCUGCCUUAUAGUGGGGGAUAACCUGGGGGAAACUCAGGCUAAUACCGCAUAAGCCCGAGGGUGAAAGUGUGGGACCUGAAAAGGCCACAUGCUAUAAGAUGAGCCUGCGUAGGAUUAGCUAGUUGGUGGGGUAAAGGCUUACCAAGGCAAAGAUCCUUAACUGGUCUGAGAGGACGACCAGUCACACUGGGACUGAGACACGGCCCAGACUCCUACGGGAGGCAGCAGU